GGGUAUCUUGCUGAAGAUCUCUGCAUAGCUGAGGUCUUCUGAAGUGUGGUGUGGAGAUGUUCCUCAUCAGCACAGGUGGUCUUCAUUCAUUGCCAAACCUAUGCAGCAACUUCCCUGCUUGUUUUCCUACAUCGGGUGAAGCAAAAGCAAACUCUUUGCUGAAUUGUUCUUCACCACCAGCUCAGAGCCCAUCCUUCUGGACUCCCUUUGCUCCAACAGCAGCUUCCAUGCAUUGGGUUUCUUCAGUAAGAGUUUGCAAGCAGGAGAACACGCUGGCAGCAGUGUGGGAGCUGAUGGCAGGUGGUUCUCCAGCACUGGCAUCCCUCGCUGCAGUGUCCUCGUGUGCCCUAAUGUCUUUUUAGGGCAUGAAAAACGGGUGAAACCAUGCACAUUAGGCUGAGCCACCUUCCAAGGCUUUGGGCUCAUAGGAAAGAAGGAUUUUACUUCAGCAUCCUUGGCUUCACCCAUUUUCCCACUGAGGCAUCACUCUACAGGCUGCUGAGGUCUGAAUGGAAAGGAAUGCUGACCACCGUAAGGCUGUGGGAAUGCAAUGCUGGGGAACCCAGUGAUGGGGCACCAAGGCAGGGCUGUGGCAGUAGCAGAGAUGUGCCUUCCCCUCGGCUGCCAAACAGACCCAGCAGCAGCCCGACCUGUCAGCCACCAGCAGCAGAUGUUCCCCUCCUACAGCCUGGCUAAUGAUCAGCAGAUGUUGCUCCCAAAGGAAACGAGGAUAUUUUCAGCAUCUCUCUCUAACAAGGGCUCAGACGGAGCCCCUGGGCAGCAGAGGCUGCCUCUUGUUCAGACCCAGCACUCUGCAAAUUCCCUUCUCCAUCUCCAUCAGCUCUUGGAGGGUUCAAAGCCACCGGGGCACUGCACAAAGUUCCCAGCCCUGCAGCGCUUCCUUUCCAUGGGAUGGGAAUGGGGAAAGGACCAGUCUGCUCUGCUCCAGGUUUUGCUUUGUUCUUGACAGCAUCUCCAGCUGCACAUGAAGUCCGCCGCUAUUUUGAGGUCCCUCUCCUUCCCCUCCAUCCCCAGGGGCUUCUAGCUGAGCAGCAGAAUAGAAAACGACAGAUUAUUGCUGCCUCUCGCUGAGCCUCUCUCUCACGUGUAAAAGAUGGUCCAUUUUUCUCACAAGCGUUUUGAAAGGGAGUCAGCACAGGAAGGAACUGCACUUUUUCCAACCCUUUGUGCUUUUUGCUGCCCUGGUAUCUCCCCAGGAUGCCGCCUUGGCUGCAGUGCCCCAGGUCCCACUGAAGUCCCACACAUCCCCUCACACGUUUCCUAUCUAUUCCCCAAAGCCUGAGAGCAGCACAAAGCACUGUGAGCCCUGCUAGCAUCCUGCUUGGUCUGCUCACCAGCUCUAAUCCUGCUUUUCAUUCAUACAUCUUAUUUAUUCCUCUUGGGUGACAACCAUUAAUCUGCAGCUGUACUUCUUUUACCCUACACUUGGCAACCUUUUUUUUGGUUAAAUGGGUGCACGUUUACUUAGGCAAUUAUGCUGCUGGAUGUGUAUUUACAGGGAUUCUUCAUUUCUACAUUUGAUUAUGUUGUGUUACAGGGAAUGAUGCAUUCCCUUUUUAUGAGAUUCUUAUUAAUUAUAGACUCACAACAUGCGUCGUGGUCCAUUUGGGCUGAAAUUGGUUUUCAAUUUAAAACACCUAAAAACCAGCAGCAAAGAUGGCUUUUAUUAGUUAAAUAAAACCAUUUAAAACACGCUAACUACGGAAGAAAAUAGAAUCUUAUCUGAGCAAGCAUUUAAAACUGAUUUCUUAAACAAGAUAAGUGCUCUCUGCAAUGAGGGAGCUGAGGUCCUUGUACCAAAUUUUCAUAUUCUG